rnacentral:rRNA from 1 species
GACGAACGCUGGCGGCGUGCUUAACACAUGCAAGUCGAACGAUGAAGAAGAGCUUGCUCUUCGGAUUAGUGGCGAACGGGUGAGUAACACGUGACUAACCUGCCCCUUUCUCUGGGAUAACGCUCCGAAAGGAGUGCUAAUACCGGAUACUCACAUCGAGGCACGUGCCUUGAUGUGGAAAGUUUUUCGGAAAGGGAUGGAGUCGCGGCCUAUCAGCUUGUUGGUGAGGUAACGGCUCACAAAGGCGACGGCGGGUAGCCGGCCUGAGAGGGCGACCGGCCACACUGGGACUGAGACACGGCCCAGACUCCUACGGGAGGCAGCAGUGGGGAAUAUUGCACAAUGGGCGAAAGCCUGAUGCAGCGACGCCGCGUGAGGGAUGAAGGUCUUCGGAUUGUAAACCUCUUUCAGUAGGGACGAAGCGUAAGUGACGGUACCUAAAGAAGAAGCACCGGCUAACUACGUGCCAGCAGCCGCGGUAA